rnacentral:rRNA from 1 species
CCCUUAGAUGUUCUGGGCCACACGCGCGCUACACUGAUGAAUUCAACGAGCCUAGCCUUGUCCGAAAGGUCCGGGUAAUCUCUGAAACUUCAUCGUGAUGGGGAUAGAUCAUUGCAAUUAUUGAUCUUCAACGAGGAAUUCCUAGUAAGCGCAAGUCAUCAGCUUGCGUUGAUUACGUCCCUGCCCUUUGUACACACCGCCCGUCGCUUGUACCGAUUGGAUGGUCCGGUGAAAUCUUCAGAUAGCUGGUAGUUGGCUUGCCAUCUACUGCUAAAAGUUGCUUAAACCUUAUCAUCUAGAGGAACAAGAAGUCGUAACA